CAUAAAUAUAAGCAUAACACGUGCUGUAAUCACACUCAUCCCAGAUGACGGUAUGAAUCUCCGUCCAGGCGUCGCGUAAUAUAAAAGCGCAUUAAACACGAAACGCAGUAUGACGGCAGACGCGCCUUCAGAGCAGGUCACAGGCUGUUCAUAGGAGCCCCCAGGAGAGAUACUGCAGUAGAGUUUAUGACAGCCCCGGGAGAAAUUAGCCCGUCUUAAAACGACAGAGGUAUAUGUUCUGAGCCCAGCUAGACAGCGUUAAACUACUGAUGGAGAAUGCCUGCACCUCAGCAUCACCUUGUGAAGAAUGAAAAUCUGCUCAGUCUUACAUUUAUUUCUUUACUACAUUCUAAAUCAGACCUGGGCAAAAACUGGCCUGCAAAGCAAUUUCUAGUGGGCUGUGUAAUCAUUAAAAAAAAAAAAGUUCAAGUCCCAUGAGUAAUCACAUGUUAAACAUGAAAAAUGUGCUGGUUCUAUUGAUUUCUGCAUAUAUUUUUAAAAGGGGAAAGUAAAAUCAAACAGGUAUUCCAUUGUAGUUUUCAAAGAACAUGAAAAUGAUGUUUAAUAAUGGCCCCUGUUGACAUGGUGAAGCUUGGAUUAGGCCCAGGCCAGUACUACAUGUUCAUUUUUGAAUGAAUUGUCACAAUGUCAGACAUGCCUAAUGAAU